GUAGUGAACCGCUGAGGCUGUGUUGAGCGCUCCUUCUCCGCGCAACUCCCGGCUUCGACACCGCCUUCCUUCCUAUGAAUCCUUAAUUUAACGUGGUCACAGUCAGCUUAAGACCGGCACCUCUCGGGCUCCGUCUUGUAGGACCUCGGCCUGGCUUCGAGGGCUUCCAUACAGUAACCAGACCACAACACUGAACUUGGAGCACCAAGAACAGGUCAGGCCCGUCGGCAGGAGCCCCACCCUGUUUGGCCAGGAUGCCUUUGGGACGCUUGGCAGGGAGCGCCCGCUCCGAGGAGGGAAGCGAGGCAUUUCUGGAGGGAAUGGGUCACCUGUCACUUUGACAACCAGCUGGUACGGAAUGCGGCCCUGCGGGAGGAGCUGGAUCUGCUGCGGAUCGACAGGAACCGCUAUCUGAACGUGGACCGCAAGCUGAAGAAGGAGAUCCACCACCUGCAUCACCUGGGAGGAGGCGAAGGCCAAGAUGGGCUUGCUGCGGGAGCGCGCGGAGAAAGAGGAGGCCCA
rnacentral:lncRNA from 1 species